AGCAAAUCAACAACCAUGAUUCGAGCCAUCGUUCUUCUGACUGUCUGUGUUGCAACCGUUUACUGCAACGGUUACAUACGUGGUGGUCACAUCGGCGGGGGCCGAAUUAGUGGCGGACGUCUUGGAGGUCUUGGGGGAGGUUUAGGUGAUAUCAUUGGUGGUGGCAGCCAGUGGUCCGAUUCCUGGCAGUCUGGUAGCCAUGGAGGUCUCGGAGGUCGUAUUGGAGGACACGGAAGGAUCAUUGGGGGAGGUCAAGGACGGAUUAUUGGAGGAGGCCAUGGUUAUGGAGGAAAUGGAUGCGGACCGUACGGAUGUGGUGGACAAUAUGGACGUAAAUAAGAUCAUUUUAGGACGACAUUAUUACCGACUGUAUUUAUGUAACUUAAUAUUGUAUUUGUUGUUAUUUGUUUUCAAAUAAAUUAUUGAUAACCGA